UACGUAGGGGGCAAGCGUUGUCCGGAAUCAUUGGGCGUAAAGAGCGCGUAGGCGGUCCGGUAAGUCCGCUCUGAAAGUCCGGGGCUCAACCCCGGGAGGCGGGCGGAUACUGUCGGGCUAGAGUCCGGAAGAGGCGAGUGGAAUUCCUGGUGUAGCGGUGAAAUGCGCAGAUAUCAGGAGGAACACCAAUGGCGAAGGCAGCUCGCUGGGACGGUACUGACGCUGAGGCGCGAAAGCCAGGGGAGCAAACAGG
rnacentral:rRNA from 1 species